CCUACGGGGGGCUGCAGUGGGGAAUAUUGCACAAUGGGCGCAAGCCUGAUGCAGCAACGCCGCGUGAGUGAUGAAGGCCUUCGGGUCGUAAAACUCUGUCCUAUGGGAAGAAAAAAAUGACGGUACCAUAGGAGGAAGCCCCGGCUAACUACGUGCCAGCAGCCGCGGUAAUACGUAGGGGGCAAGCGUUAUCCGGAAUCACUGGGCGUAAAGGGUGCGUAGGUGGCUGAUCAAGCCAGAGGUGAAAGGCAUUGGCUCAACCAAUGUAAGCCUUUGGAACUGAUUAGCUUGAGUGCAGGAGAGGUAAGUGGAAUUCCUAGUGUAGAGGUGAAAUUCGUAGAUAUUAGGAGGAACACCAGUGGCGAAGGCGACUUACUGGACUGUAACUGACACUGAGGCACGAAAGCGUGGGGAGCGAACAGGAUUAGAUACCCCGGUAGUC
rnacentral:rRNA from 1 species